AGUUAUUUAGCUUAUAAUUAAUAGCAAUUAUUUUGAAAAUAAUAGAAAGAUAAAAAAUUUAAUAACUU
rnacentral:tRNA from 1 species